AUUGAACGCUGGCGGCAGGCCUAACACAUGCACGUCGAGCGCAGCGGCGGACGGGUGAGUAAUGCCUCGGAAUCUGCCUGGUAGUGGGGGAUAACGUCCGGAAACGGGCGCCAAUAACGCAUACUAUCAGAUCAGCUUAGGGGGGAUUAGCUAGUUGGUGGGGCAAAGGCCUACCAAGGCGACGAUCCGUCACUGUUCUGAGAGGAUGAUCAGUCACACGGGAACUAGGACACGUUCCUGACUCCUACGGGAGUCAGGAGUGGGGAAUAUUGGACAAUUGGCUAAAGCCUUAGCCAGCAAUGCCGCGUGUGUGAAGAAUGUCUUCGGAUUGUAAACCACUUUAAGUUGAGAGGCGUUACCAACCGGAUAAGCACCGGCGAACUUCGUGCCAGCAGCCGCGGUAAUAC
rnacentral:rRNA from 1 species